GAUUCCUUAGUUCAGUUGGUAGAACGUCUGACUGUUAAUCAGGUGGUCGCGGGUUCGAGUCCCGCAGGAAUCGCCA
rnacentral:tRNA from 1 species